UACGGAGGGUGCAAGCGUUGUCCGGAUUUAUUGGGUUUAAAGGGUGCGUAGGCGGCUUAUUAAGUCAGCGGUGAAAGACCAGGGCUCAACCCUGGAACUGCCAUUGAUGCUGAUAAGCUUGAGUAAAGUUGAGGUAGGCGGAAUUGACGGUGUAGCGGUGAAAUGCUUAGAUAUCGUCAAGAACACCGAUUGCGUAGGCAGCUUACUAAGCUUUAACUGACGCUGAGGCACGAAAGUGUGGGGAUCAAACAGG
rnacentral:rRNA from 1 species